rnacentral:rRNA from 1 species
UACGGAGGGAGCUAGCGUUGUUCGGAAUUACUGGGCGUAAAGCGCACGUAGGCGGCUUGUAAGUUAGAGGUGAAAGCCCGGGGCUCAACUCCGGAACUGCCUUUAAGACUGCAUCGCGUUGAAUCCAGGAGAGGUGAGUGGAAGUUCCGAGUGUAGAGGUGAAAUUCGAUAGAAUAUUCGGAAGAACACCAGUGGCGAAGGCGG